rnacentral:rRNA from 1 species
UACGUAGGGUGCAGGCGUUAAUCGGAAUUACUGGGUGUAAAGCGUGCGCAGGCGGUUUGCUAAGACAGGUGUGAAAUCCCCGGGCUUAACCUGGGAACUGCGCUUGUAACUGGCAAGCUAGAGUGUGGCAGAGGGGGGUGGAAGUUCCGACGUGUAGGCAGUGAAAUGCGUAGAGAGUGUGGAGGAACACCGAUGGCGAAGGCAGCCCCCUGGGUUAACACCUGGACGC